CUAGCCACAAGACAUUUGAAGAGAGUACAGACAGUGAAUCUCCGUCUUCUUCCACAUUGCUCAUCUUGCAAAAUUGAACUCGUUGACUAAAGUGCCGCCAAAUGAGAUGGCAGUGUAAAGUCUGUGGAUUCAGAGCGACAACAAGUGACCUUCUGCACCAUUACAGACUACAGCACAGGACGUUUGAGAUUGGAAAUUCAGUACCUUGUCUCGAUUAUGAUUGUCCAUGCUCCUUUAAAACAUUAAGUGCCCUCCACACACAUUUGUCAAGAUAUCAUGCAGAGGAUAAAGCUAAGGGGACAGACGUAGUCCUCUCUUUCACGUGUUAUUUGCUCAGCUAAAUAUCCUACUGAAAAAUAAUAUUUCCAAAAGCUCUGCAAUCACCGAAAGAGUCAUGUUUGUGCACAAAAGCAGAAAGCACAACCAUCAUUCACUUGAAGACUUGAAGCCAGAUGUCAUUGGUGAACACCAAACUUUACCAAAUGAAAGCUAUCCUUUAGUCCCAGGUGAUAGUGAUGAUAGUGAUACCAGUAUAAAUCCUCCAUUGGAUAUAUCAAAUGAAAUUCACCAAAGAAUUGGCUCACUUCUCUUGAAGUUGGAAAGUGUGCACCACGUUUCUGGUAAAUGUAUUGAUGAUUUGGUGGAGGAGCGUCAUUUUACAUACACGGCUUCUGCUCCAGCAAUUCGUCAGCUUGUCAAUGCAAGUUUGAAAAGGUGUAAUUGUGCUGUGGAGGAGGACAUUGUUAACAAAUUGGUGGUGGAACUAUGCAAGUCACACCCUACAAGCAAGGUACUGGGAGAAGAUGGGCCCUCUGGGUCAGUUUUAUACUAAGACACUAACAAUUUAAUGUUGCAGGACACUGAGAACUUGGAGGAACUUGGAACAGCUCAUAAUGGCCAUUACUGUGACCCCAAAGCCUGGAGCUUCUACAAGCAACAGCCCAAAGAACAUUGGAAUCGUCAUAGAGGGCGUGGAAGUCAUCACGGGACUUUGAGAUAUUGCAAGGGCUUGCUCUGUCCUCCUUGGCUUGACCUAUGCGCUGAAUCUCAAUUAUCCAGACAGCUGAAGUACACCUUUGAGGUAUUCCAAAAACUUUUCUUGUUACUGGAUGAUUCAAAGCUGUCAAACAAUGUCCAGUCCCUCAAGAGCAAACUUCUGGCUUGAAAUAAGACUGGUUGCAGAGCAAAAUGUUGUGCUACACAAUGUCCAGCUUCUACAGAGCUUGAGAAUUGCAGAUUUGAAAGUGUUACGUUUUUAAGUUGGCACUGAUUUGUCCCACGAAUGUUAUGACAUUUUACAUUUUUGUAAGUUCAAAAUACAAAGGUAUUUUACUUUGUA